rnacentral:rRNA from 1 species
CCUACGGGAGGCAGCAGUAGGGAAUCUUGCUCAAUGGGGGAAACCCUGAAGCAGCAACGCCGCGUGGAGGAUGAAGGUUUUCGGAUCGUAAACUCCUUUUGUUAGAGAAGAUAAUGACGGUAUCUAACGAAUAAGCACCGGCUAACUCCGUGCCAGCAGCCGCGGUAAUACGGAGGGUGCAAGCGUUACUCGGAAUCACUGGGCGUAAAGAGCGCGUAGGCGGGAUAGCAAGUCAGAUGUGAAAUCCUAUGGCUUAACCAUAGGACUGCAUUUGAAACUGUUAUUCUAGAGUAUGGGAGAGGUAGGUGGAAUUCUUGGUGUAGGGGUAAAAUCCGUAGAGAUCAAGAGGAAUACUCAUUGCGAAGGCGACCUGCUAGAACAUAACUGACGCUGAUGCGCGAAAGCGUGGGGAGCAAACAGGAUUAGAUACCCGGGUAGUC